GGCAGAGGGUGCAAGCGUUAAUCGGAAUUACUGGGCGUAAAGCGCACGUAGGUGGAUUAGUAAGUUGGAUGUGAAAUCCCUGGGCUUAACCUAGGAAUUGCAUUCAAAACUGCUAGUCUAGAGUACAGUAGAGGGAAGUGGAAUUUCCGGUGUAGCGGUGAAAUGCGUAGAUAUCGGAAAGAACAUCAGUGGCGAAGGCGACUUCCUGGACUGAUACUGACACUGAGGUGCGAAAGCGUGGGGAGCAAACAGG
rnacentral:rRNA from 1 species